GAGUCUGAGAGGACAUGGCGGUCGGUAAACAGGACUUAAUUCUGUUCCUCAUCCACCCAGAACCCUCCCUGAGGGCCUCCCCUGCACUUUGGAAACAGCCCAAGCUUUGAAAUCAGGAAGUUUGAAGACUGGUUCUGCUACUUCCAGGCUGUGUGGCCUUGGGUAAGUUCCUUGCCCUCUCUGCUUCAGGUUGCGCAUUUGUGGAACCAGUUAACUGUAUAUAACCGGCUGAGUUCCCGCACUGAAUAAGGAGAAGUCGGUCUUUCUUGGUAGAUGCCGUGCCUGCGUUUGUGCGGUUGAAGGAAAGGAGGAAAAUGAGAAGGGCCAAGAUUGACCUGACUUGAUUU
rnacentral:lncRNA from 1 species